CGAACGAAAUUUUCUGCCCCAGUUUCACUAGGAAAAUUUCGUUAAUUAUUCGCCAGGAAGUUCAUAAAAUUGAUGAAAGAGGAUAUGCAUGCUCAGUUCAGGGUUGGAGCCCUAAUACCGACUAGCUGGGGAAAGGUUCAGUUUAGGGUUUAAAACCCUAACGCCGAACAAAGGAAGAAUUCAGUUUAGGGUUUAAAACCCUAAUGCUGAUUGCAUGGGAAAAAGUUCAGUUUAGGGUUUUAAAACCCUAAUGCUGACUAAGGAAAAAUUCAGUUUAGGGUUUAAAACCCUAAUGCUGACUGAAAGGAAAAAAAUUCAGUUUAGGGUUUAAAACCCUAAUGCUGAUUGGAUGGAAAAGCUCAGUUUAGGGUUUAAAACCCUAAUGCUGGCUGAAAGAAAAAUUUAGUUUAGGGUUUAAAACCCUAAUGCUGAUUGCAUGGAAAAGCUCAGUUUAGGGUUUAAAACCCUAAUGUUGAUUGAAAAGGAAAAAGUUCAGUUCAGGGUUUAAAACCCUAAUGCUGACUAAAAGGAAAAUUCAGUUUAGGGUUUAAAACCCUAAUGCUGGCUGCAUGGAAAAGCUCAGUUUAGGGUUUAAAACCCCAAUGCUGGCUGAAAGGAAAAAGUUCAGUUUAGGGUUUAAAACUCUAAUGCUGACUAAAAGGAAAAGCUUAGUUUAAGGUUUAAAACCCUAAUGCUGGCUGCAUGGAAAAGCUCAAUUUAGGGUUUAAAACCCUAAUGCUGGCUGAAAGGAAAAAGUUCAGUUUAGGGUUUUAAAACCCUAAUGCUGAUUGCAUGGAAAAGCUCAGUUUAGGGUUUAAAACCCUAAUGCUGGCUGAAAGGAAAAAGUUCAGUUUAGGGUUUAAAACUCUAAUGCUGACUAAAAGGAAAAGCUCAGUUUAGGGUUUAAAACCCUAAUGCUGAUUGCAUGAAAAAAGCCUAGUUUAGGGUUUAAAACCCCAAUGCUGGCUGAAAGGAAAAAGUUCAGUUUAGGGUUUAAAACCCUAAUGCUGACUAAAAAGGAAAAUUCAGUUUAGGGUUUAAAACCCUAAUGCUGAUUGCAUGGAAAAGCUCAGUUUAGGGUUUAAAACCCUAAUGCUGGCUGAAAAGGAAAAAGUUCAGUUUAGGGUUUAAAACCCUAAUGCUGACUAAAAGGAAAAUUCAGUUUAGGGUUUAAAACCCUAAUGCUGAUUGCAUGGAAAAGCUCAGUUUAGGGUUUAAAACCCUAAUGCUGGCUGAAAAGGAAAAAGUUCAGUUUAGGGUUUAAAACCCUAAUGCUGACUAAAAGGAAAAUUCAGUUUAGGGUUUAAGACCCUAAUGCUGGCUGCAUGGAAAAGCUCAGUUUAG
rnacentral:lncRNA from 1 species